rnacentral:rRNA from 1 species
AUACGUAGGGGGCGAGCGUUGUCCGGAAUGAUUGGGCGUAAAGGGCGCGUAGGCGGCCCGGUAAGUCCGGAGUGAAAGUCCUGCUUUUAAGGUGGGAAUUGCUUUGGAUACUGUCGGGCCUGAGUGCAGGAGAGGUAAGUGGAAUUCCCAGUGUAGCGGUGAAAUGCGUAGAGAUUGGGAGGAACACCAGUGGCGAAGGCGACUUACUGGACUGUAACUGACGCUGAGGCGCGAAAGUGUGGGGAGCAAACAGGAUUAGAUACCCUGGUAGUCCACACUGUAAACGAUGAAUGCUAGGUGUAGGGGGUAUCGACCCCUUCUGUGCCGCAGUUAACACAAUAAGCAUUCCGCCUGGGGAGUACGGCCGCAAGGUUGAAACUCAAAGGAAUUGACGGGG